AGAUUUCUCACUGUCUCUCUAAAAAUCCUUCUCCUCUCUCACUUUCUUUCUCUCCCAAAAACUACCGCCUCAUUUGCUUCAUUUUUGGCCGACGAAACUCGUCGGAUUCCGGCGACCACCAACAACUUCGGCCAAACUCAUCAGCCGUACCCCAUUCCCACUCUCUCAUCUCCCUUUCUCUCCCUCAAACUCUCCUCCACUGCUUCUUCAUCUGGCCGGCGAAAUUCGCCGCCAGUCACGACAACAACACUCUCCCCAUGCUGUAAACUUCCCAUCUCCCUCUUCCCCCUCUCUUUCCGUUUCCUUUCGCCGGAGGUGGUGACCGACAAGCUUUGGCUGAACCACCAUGACAUCACUGAUCCUUUUCCCUUUCGCCUUUCCGCUUCCUUUUCACCGGAUGUGGUGACCGACGAAACCACCGGCGAACAGAUCCAAAUCGGUGCACAACAAAACCUUUUUCCCUCUAUUUUUUCUUCUCUUUUAUAUCAUCGUUGUUCACAUUUAUUUUUGAAGAUUUGCUGUAUUUUUUCAUGAUUAUGGUUGGUUGAUUAUUUUUCUUAUAUUUUAUUUGAUUUUCCUAUAACUUAAUUAUUGCUUUGCCUUCAAUUUGCUCGUUCCUCACUUUUAUGCUUCUGUUAUAUUUGUUUGGAAUAGGUGCUUCUAUUGUUUUAUUUUUUCUUUGUUUGGAAUAGUUGGUGCUACUCCCUCCGUUUUAUAAUAAAUGUAUUGUUAGAGUAUUUUUUAAAGGAAUAGUUGGUGCUACUCCUUCCGUUUUAUAAUAAAUGUAUUGUUAGAGUAUUUUUUAUGUUUCAAAAUAAGUGAAUGAUUCACAAUUCAAGGUAGAUAUUGGGAAAUUUUUUCAAAUUUAUCCUUCAUUAAAUGUGCAUUGGAAGUGAUGUAUCAUGUGUCUUUGCUUUUUGAAGAAGGUAAAAAUAGAAAAACAUGAUAAAUUUAUGUCUUUGCUUUUUUUCUUAAUAUGUGUGUCAAAAUUGAACAAUUAAUGUAUUGUGAAACGGAGGGAGUAUUGUUUAUUUUUUUGUUUCUUUCCAUUAUUUUCAUGCUAGUUAAUUCAUUGGUUAUUACAUCCAACAAACACAAUUUUUUGUUUGGACUUUAUUGUCUCAAAGUUACUAUUUUAUAUUAAGAGCCGAUACUUGGCCGAUGAAGAAAUUCUCCGUCGAUUUUCGAGGCCUUUUUAAAUAAAAAGAUGGAUAUUACGUAUAUAGUUACGUAAUAAAAUUAAAUAUUUUGGGUGAUGGAAAAUUUUUUAUAACAACGCACAAAAGUUUUAUGAUUCGUAAAUUGACAAGACGAUUUAGGACGGUUACUAAAUUAGCAACCACUUCGUAGUCAUAUCAUAGUUAAAAUCUAAUUUUUUUUUUACAUAUAUGCACACAUACGUUCUCGAUUUAUUUUGAUAGUUGUUUAUUGAGUAAAUACAUAAUUACUCCUUUGAAGUUAGUCGAGAUUUUCAAAAGACACCUAAACUUUCAAUUCGACCUAUUACCCUACGAUUCUUCUUUAUUCCGUUGCAAGUAUACCAUUUUGGACAUCUGCGUGUAUACACGCGCCAUAGGUGCGUGAAAGGGUUCAAAUUUGACUUUUUGACCAAUUAAAAGCUGUCAUGUGUAAAUAAUUGAUAUAUAAUUUAUAUUCUUUUUUUGAAAUAAAAAAAUCAAUAUUUAUUUAUUUUUUAAAAUUAUUUCAUAAACCCAUCGAUCCACCAUUAUCUUCUUCCCCAACUUCUUCAUCAUCAUAACUCAAUAAUAUCAUCAAUUACAACAAUAACAUAAUCAAUAACAACAACAACAACAUCAAUUACAGUUGCACCAACAUCAAUUAAAGCAACAAACACAACAUCAUCAUCACCAUAAUUUUAAAAAGGAAAGUUAAUGCACAACCUCCUUUUUAAUGAAGCUUUAAGCUUCAUUUUAAUGGAGGAAAUUGGACGGGGGAUGGGAAAGGGAGAUGUUGGACGGAGUGGGGGUGGGAGUAGGAGGUGGGGUAGGGUCAUAAAUAUAAAAAAAAUGAAGCUUAAAGCUCCAUUAAAAUGGAGAUUGCACAGCAACUUUAAGCUUUAUUUUAAUGAAGGGAACUGAAGGGAAAUGGGGGAGGGAGAUGUUGGACGGGGUGGGAGUGGGGGUGAUUGGGUGAGGUGAGGUCAUAAAAUAUAAUAAAAAUGAAGCUUAAAGAUCCAUUAAAAUGGAGAUUGUACAGGAGCUUUAAGCUCCAUUUUAAUGGAGGGACUGGGCGCGGGGAGGUUGCUAGAUGAGGUGGGGUGGGGUGAUAAAUUAAAUAAAAAAAAUUUAUUUAAAAAAAUAAAUAAAAUAUGAAAUCAAAUAUAUUUAACACGUGGCAGCACCUGAUUGGUACGUAUGUUCACUCUCUUUCUUGUGAUUGAGAUUCAACGAAAAAUAGUGUAUUUGCAACGGAUUAAGUAAGAAUCGUGGGUAAUAAGUCGAAUUCAAAGUUUAGGUGUCUUUUUAAAAAUCUCGACCAACAUCAGCGGGGUAAUUAUGUAUUUACUCUUGUUUAUUUGUUACUAACAUUUUAUUACAACUGUUUGUACAGGUUCUCGGAAAUACUCGUCGGGAAUGAUAUUUAAAGAAGAGUUUGAAUUUUAUUAUAUUUGUAUUUUCUUUUAUUCUUAUCAUUAUACAAAUAUUAAUUAUAGUGAAAUCUUUAUUUUUGGGGCGUUUGGUGGGGAUGUUCUUUAUUUAUACAAUUUUUACUGCGUGUUAGACAAAUUUAGGUCGUUAAUAUUUAUAUUAAAAUUAAUUUAGAUAUUUAAUUACAUAAUUCACACUUUUUACACAAAAAAACAUUAUGUAAUUUUUUCUUUAAAAAUAAUUUCUUUUUUAUUCAAUCUUUGACUUUCUUUUUUAUAUAUCCUUACAUACGUUUGUUUAUACAUCUUUACGUGCGCUUAUACAUAUUUUGCAAUAACAUAUGUAUUAUAUUAUUUUUGUCUUUGCAGACAUUGAUUUUUAUUUUAUCUUUUAAUAAUAAACCUAAGUCUGGCCGGGAACCAUAUUUGUGGAUUCUGAAGGGUGCCUAAUCCCUUUCCUUCGGAAUAAUUUGAACCUUUACCUACAAUUUUAAUUGGUUCACAAAUUGAAAUAAAAAUCAUACUUGUUAAUAAAUAAGUAGGUUUUCGAUUUUUUCCUAAAAAUUAGGUGGGGACUCUGUAUCAAAAUAAUUAUUUUAAAGUUCAUAAUGUCGUGCUCAUUUUGACCUUAGGUAAAAAUCGGGUAUGACACCGAGAAAAUCUCACACCAGACUCCAUAUAGGUAGAGCCUCCAUAACUUCAAAGCAAACAUAGUCGCGCAGAACUCUAAAUCAUAGGUAGGUUAGUUCUCAUGAGGCUUCAACUGACUAGAUGCAUAAGUAAUUACCUUGCCUUUCUACAUAAACACAACAUCCAAUCCAACACUUGAAGCAUCACAAAACACGGUAAAGCCCACACCAACCUUGGGUAGAGCCAAAAUAGGAGCUAAAGUCAACAAAUACUUGAGCUAAGAAUAGUAAUGAGUAAUGAUUGGUUGGUAGAGGUCUUGAUGACCAUAAAUAAACUUGCAUCGUGUUGUAAACUAAGGACUUGGGCUUAUAUAUAUGAUUAAUGGCUAAUUGGGUUGGGAAAUACCAUGUGGUUGUCUAUGGUGUUGAUAUGUAGCCUUGGUGGGUAGAAUUACCUAAAUGGGUUCAAGCCCCUAAAUGUCGAAAUGUAUUGUAUGGAUGUUAAUGCAUGAUCUGAUGGGUUAAGAGUUCAAAUGUCAACUAAUGAUGGUAAUAAGAUGACUUGUGGUUAAAGUCCCUCGUCUAAUAACUUGUGGUUAAAGUCCCUUGUCUAAGGACUUGUGGUUAAAGCCCUUCGUCUAAUGACUUGUGGUUGGAAUCCCUUGCUUAAAGAUAUCUCUUGAGAUUAAAACACCUCAUCUUAUGAAUCAACAUGUGAUUAGAUUUCCAUGCCUGAUUGAAUGUGGGAUCAUGUGAUUAGAGUUCCAUGCCCGAUUGAAUGUGGGAGCAUGUGAUUAGAGUUUCAUGACCGAUUGAAUGUAGGAGCAUGUGAUUAGAGUUCCAUGCUCAAGUUAAUAUAUGGGCAUGUGAUUAGAGUUCCAUGCCCGAUUAAAUGUGUAAGCAUGUGGUAAAGUUCCAUGCCUAAUGAAUUGAUUAAAUAGGUAAAAUCGGUUAAAUUAGUUGAGUAGGUUUGAGGUUUGGAUCCUCUUGACUAAUGUAAUGAAGAAGUUCAAGGUUAUAAAAUUGGUAAGGUGGAAUAUUGAAAGUUCUUCACUCCAUGUCUCAUGAAUAAAUGAUUUGAGAAUGCAUGUUAUAGCUCAUUCCAUGUUUUGGCACAUUGUGUAACUAUAUGUCCAUGUAUAUUCAUAUAUGCCGAUACUUGUGUAAAUAUGAUUGCAUGUAAUGAUUUGAAUGGAUUGAACAAGUGCACUAUUUUAUCCUUAUCCUUGAGUUACAUGCUAGCACUCUAACCGCUAACUAUCUCCCGACGCUAUGUCCCCACGCGACAUAGGGGCCAAAGCAUCUUUUUAUUAUUCUAUGUAGUGAUCAGGUGUUCGAGUGGUUCGGGCAUUGACCUUGAAAUGGUGAGUUUUCAUACUCCAAAAGAUCUACCUUUCGUAGUAUUUUUAUCCUAUGUUAUAGACUUGUAUAGGUUUGGUACUUGGUUAUUGUCGGGGGCAUGUCCCAACACAUUAUUGACUUGGUUUGGUGGAGAUUUCGUUGAUGACUAUGGAAUUGGGUAUACUGGCUAGACUGUUGACCUUAAUGAAAUGUUAGAUAUUGUUGAAGUACUACCUAUUAUCUUUAUAUUUCCGAUAUAUUACUAUAAGGCUGGAAUUCACCCAACCAUUAUAGUUGUUGUGAUGACGAUUUCGUUAGGUUAUCGGGGCGACCUCCGAUUCAUGUUGACUUGAGGUUCCCAUACGACAUGGCCUAAUUUUGGGGCAUGUCAUGCGGUGGCUACCAUAAUAUCCAUGAGAAGCUCUGAAAUAUCUUCCAUAAGUAGAUGGACCUCUGAACUCAUAAAAAUGGCACACUUUCUUGGUGCCUCACUAAGAUGCCUGAAGAAUACCCUUAGUCAUCUUAGCCAGAUCUACAAUACUCUUAAAAAGAUGCCCCAAAUACGAGAAUCUGUGUAUAUCCAACUGAAGGGGGACAUCAAAACCCUUCAUAAACUUCUGAAUCUUCUUUGACUUGCUAGAAAUACUAGCAUAGGAAUAUCUGGACAAGGCAUAGAAGUGUGUCUCAUACUCAUCUACAGUUAUGGAGCCCUGAUCAAGAUGGUCAAACUUAUCACACAUCCGAUAUCUUAAACUAAAAGGCAUAAAUCUCUCCCGAAAGCCAUCAACAAACUGAUCACAUGAUAUCUUAGGAGCAUCAAUAAAUCUACAACCAACAACUGAUCUCCACCAAUAUCUAGCCACGUCUCUCAACUAAUAUAUAGUAUAAGCAACUCCAUGUGACUCCAAUGAACCUAAAUUAUGGAGCUUCUCCCAAUAAUAAAUCAAGAACUCAUAGGCAUCCUUGUCCACAACACCAAUGAACAUAGGAGGACCCAAAUAAGUAAAUCUCUCAAACCUCUUCUGAUCCUCAAAAGAUAUUACAGUACUCACAGUUAGAUAGGCAUAGUGAAUCUAGCAAGCUGAGAUCCUAUAUCAGAAGUUAACAUAGAUGAAGGUUGAACUCCCAAUCUCAGAAUACCAUGCUCAGAUGUCGGUGCUGAAAUAGGAAUAGGACUCAAGGUCUGAGGAGUACCCAAAAUAGGAGCAGGUGCAAUAGGAGAAUCCAAACUCCGAACUAGAGGAGCACCAAACAUAACUAAAGGAGAACCCUAUAAGUGGGACAACAAAUACAUCAAUAACACCUCCAAAACUGGGGCAGAUGAACUCUGAAUAGCUGGAGUAAAACCCAUAUAUCCAACCUACUCAAAACGAGGCUUGAGGGAGAGUCCCCUUACUCUUCUUCUAGACGGCGCUAAAAUACUGGCCAGUCCUCUCCCUCGAGUUUCUCUAUGGCUAGAGGGACGUCUUCUAGACCAAAAUCUCUCUGCAAAAGCAGGCUCCACAUCACUAACCUCGCGGGACCUAGUCAACACCAUCUGUGCAAAAAGAGUAAAAUAUAAUUGAGAACACAAGAUAUGAAAGAACAUCACAUGGUAAGGAAGGGAAUUAAAGAAAGUUUCCUAAAGACAUCCUAUAGCCUCUCGAAGAUAGAUACAGACGUCUAUGUAUCGAUCCGUGAGAUUUAUUAGAUAUUCCAUCCUUACACCAUUGAGAACAAUAAAACCUAGCUGCUCUAAUACCAAUUUGUCAUGGCCCAAAAUCCAUAGGUCUUGAUGGCACUUGUCACGGCGAACCUUGGCAAGUAUGCCUAUCACCCAAAUCAAUACACAUAAAAUAAAAAUACAAUAAUAACCCUAAGUCAAGGCUCCUAGAAGGAAGCUGAACUAUACAAGUAAAAUAAAUAUGGAAGGAAACAUAACAAUGUAGACAUAACUCCAAAAAAUUGGUGUGAACAAUAUAAGAACGUAUCUAGUACAACUCAAAUUCAAAUGAAAUACAUAAUAUAUCCAAAUACAAGAAAAACCUUAUCUCUGAAAGGAAAGUAAAUACAUAGUUUAUAAGAGAGGUAAUAAAAGACAUUCAGAUGCCUGAAGGCCAACUACUACCUUGAAAGCUCCAACAAACAUACCAGUCAAGCAAGUUAAGGUGCAUGUGCAGUAGGUGAGAGUACGAUCCACUUGUACACAGAAGGUAUCAUAGGUCGAUCAAGCAAAGUAUAAAAUAUAAAAUAUAAAAUAUAAAAUAAGGGAACAUCACCUGCAAUCAGAAAAUAUCUCACAAUAGUAGCUCACACCGCUUGCACUAAAAGUUCUAACAGAUAUAUAACACAUAUAUAGCAACAACAUCACCAGGUAGAACACAAGUAUACAUUUUAUCACAUACAUAUUGGAACAAGGGAUAAUAUGUAUAUACGAGAUACUUAGAUACAAUUAAUAAAAAAUAGAACAAAUAUUUGUAUGAGAAGUCUAUAUAGCAAUUCAAUCUCAACACAAAUAAAAUAAAGAAGUGCAAUGUAUAAGAUGAUGAUAAUGAUGCACGAGGCUGUCACACAACCUCCAUAUACACCCACGGAGGAAAAUUUAUCGACGUAGGAACCAUGGAGGAUUCGUCAACCCAUAUAAAAUCCAUAUAUACCCAUAUCCAUAUCCAUAAUCCUCCUCGACUCAUCUCUCGGGGAGGUUUUAUAAGAUGUCAUAUUUUCUGUUAUACAAAGGUAUUGUCAGUGUUUCUUAGGUGUUUCCAUGGUGGUACUAUUUAUUUCAUCAAUUAGUAUAAUAUGAGGAUGAAAUGCUCACAACCAAUCAUAAUGAGUAUUUCAACAACCAAUCACGUGAUAUAUUUCCAUAAUGAAUCACAAUGAUACAUUUCCAUAACCACGUAAGCCAAUAUUCACUUAUUAUUUUCAUUCAUUCAUGAAUGUCCACAUGUUUUCAUAUGCCACAAAUAUGAAUAUAUAUCACAAUACACCAGAGGUACAACAAAAAGGCAUUUGCAAUCGCACAAUACAAUUAUUCACAUGUAUUCAAGGCUAUCAAAAUCAUAUAGGACCUUACACGGUUAUACAUAUCACUUAAGAUUCUCAAUUUUAGCAAUUACAUCACAUAUAGGCCCUCACACAGGCAAUACAUAUAGAUCGUGAUUUUUCAAGAUUAGUUUUCACCCUUAAUAUGCAUUUUGUACCAACAUUUGCUACCCUGAUUAGUUUCAAAGAGUAUAGAAUCUAUGUAUCAAAAUAAAGAUAACAAUAUCCAUAUUUCCUAAUUUGGUUUGGGGUCAAAGCGGAUUUUCAAAAUGAAUUUUCAAAAAAGAAGGGCAAAUUCAUAACUUUUCUUCAAAAUGUGUUUCCAUAUUUCUAGAAAUCUAUAGUUGGAAACCCAAGUCAAAUCAAGUCAAAAUUGAGGUUCAAAUUGAAGAAAAAAUAUUUCUAAGCUUUAUUAGGUAAAAUCUUUGAAAUCUGUAUUAAAAUCAAGGAUCGAGGUUGUUUUGAAGGUUAAAUUGAUAAAAAAACUAGUAAUUACAGGAUUAAAAUAUUAUUCAAGUAAAAAAAGGUGAAAUUGUGGUUUAAAAUCAAGCCCUAAGAUUUAGGGGGUUUUGAGAAAUUAAUCAAGAAUUAGAGUAAGAAAGGAUGAAAUCUCACCUUCCCUAAGAUUUAGGGGGUUUUGAGAAGUUAAUCAAGAAUUAGAGUAAGAAAGGAUGAAAUAUCACCUUAAAUCUGUAAUAGAAUCAAGAAAUAGAUGUUAAUAUACCUCCCAUCUGUAACGCCCUCAGACUUCACCCUGGGCAUCACACAAUGCCUACGACCUCGAAGGACCACAAGCAACCUAUGAUGGGUACCUGCUGUGAGCACUAAGUAAUAAUAAUGAAAACUUAUGCCGAAGUAAAAUUGAAAAUGCCAUAAAAUUCAUAAAAUUGAAUCAAUACUGAGUACAUUUGUAGAAUAACUGCUAACUGAUAAUGUCUGAAAGCCUCUAACAUAUCUGAAAUAAAAGAGUUAAGGGGACAGACCCCAACUAACUCGCAACUGCUAUCUGAAAUAACUGAAAUAUUGAAAGAAUGCAAUGGCUAAAUAUGUAUCGCGUCCUUGAUGGAUGAGGACUCACUACAAUAACUACUUAUAAUCCACUGACCUGGAAAAGUACGAUCAGGAACCCGAGCGUUUGGACCUAUGAUAUAAGACAUCAUAGCACAAAAAGAGAGUAUGUGUCAUGUCAGUACUUUGAAUAUACUGGUAUGCUAGGCGAGGUUAGGCUAAUAUGAAUGGAUUCAUGUAUAUGAAUAAUAAUAACUAAAUAUCAUGAAGUGACUGGAUGAGAGAAAAUGUUAGACUGGGACUACUGAAUAUAAGGAACAUGUAAUGACAAGGAUAUAUCAUCUAUCUGAUUUAGACUAUAACUGAAGUACUGAGUUUCUGAUAACUGUAAGUUAUGAUCAUGUAGAACUAAACUGAGUUCUGUACUAAAUGUUGAAUACUGAAUACUGAAUACUGGAACUAAACUGUGGGAGUUAUAUCUAACCAAUAUAUCCUGUGUAUAGACUGAUUUGGGAUCCAACCUGUAACCCUAGUUGGAAAGGUGUUAGCACUGUACCACGAGUUACUAACACUGGUUGGGUCAACCCUAAUUUGGCAGGAAGACUGAUGAGAUAUAUAUGGUUACGUUAACCCUAGUCUAGUAGGAAGACUAUUUGCCCUAAAUUGGCUAUGUAGUUCUAUAACUCAAGGACUGCUACUAAGGGUCAAACCCUAUAUUGGCAGGAACCCUGGGUUCACUCGGUGCUAAAUCCUACUCCCAACUGAACCGACAAUGAUCACUAGACUGUACUAAGCUUGACUGAACUCAUGUUGAUUCUGCUAACUGACCGAAUGCUACUAUUCGGGAUACUACAAAAUCAUUCUAUUAUGAUUGGAAAAUAAGUAAGAAUCUAGUUUUGGGUAUACAAUACCCCCAGGACUCGAUAGCAUAAAUAAUGGAACCAUAUCAGAAGUUUAAAAAGCAUUACAAUUAGGAUAUCAUGAACAAUUUGUUCACAUAGACAUUUUUUCAAACACUUGGGGAGCAUAGUUCUUGUACAUGAGAAAUAAUAACAUGGGGAUAUCUUGAAUAAAACAUUCAACUUACAAUUCAUGGGUUAUGGCAUGAGGAGUACAUAAGUCAACACACAUGCUAGUUUGUUUGCUUGAAAUUCAUAAUUUUCUUAGUUUAAAAUCCAUAAAAUCAACACAUACAUGAACACAAAUUCAAUUCAGUAAUGUAAUUCAUAAUUUAAAUUCUCAAAAAUGAUUUUUGAACUCCAAGGGUGGAAGGAACCCAAGAAUGAAUACCAAACAUACCUUGAUUUAUGAAUUGGUGAGAACUGAUGGUGAAUUCUUGAGAUUUGAUCUUGAAUCUCGAAGGCUAGAUUUUUUUCUUGAAAGAGGGCUACUUUAAUUUGAGAGGAGUGUGAAAAUUUUAGCAAAUAAUGCUCUCUUGGGAGUUAAUCCUGUAUUUUGAUUAAAUGAGGUGAAGGAAAAAAACGUAAAUGCCCUUGACAAAUUAAAACUCAAAACUAGACUGGAAAUCUCGAUUUUGGCUUUCAGUGCGAUGCGGUGCAACCACGUUGGGCCACUGGAAAAGGGACCAUCUUGAAUUUACCCAGCGGCGCGACGCGGUGAAAUCGCAUUGAGCCACUGGGAACGGACAAUUCCAAAAUGGCACCUUGGCGCAAUGCAGUGCCAAUCAUUGUGCCUCACUGGAAAGUGAUAAAUGCGAAAGUUCCCCUUGGAGAUACGUGGUGCUUAUCAUGGUGACACACUGGAAAAAGACAAACAUGAUUUAGGCCAUCACCGUAAUGCGGCCAUAUUGAGUUGGGCUAUUAUUUUUUACUAAAAGUGCCAUAACUUCUCACUCGAGUAUCUGAUUUAGGCAAAAUUGGUAUCGUUGGAAAGAUAAUUCAAAUUCCUACAAUUUAGUGGGUAUUGAGCUGAAAAAUUCUGAGUAUAAUAAAAGAUAUCCUUGUUUGAAUUUGACUAAAGCAACAUUCUUCUCAAAAAUUCAAUCGGCAAGGAAUAUUUUGAUUCAUCCAAUAACUGGGAGAUAUUUGAGGACUUAAUAUACAUCAACCUCACUCAUAAAAUUACCAACAAACUAUAAGGUAUUAUGAAUGAGCUUGGAACAUGGCACUAACAAUGGUUUGAAUUUUUGGGGUAUUACACCAUAAGCUUCACUUUUACGUUCUCACACCAUUUUAGGGUUUAACUCUCAAUAGAAAAUGUGAAAGAAUGAUCAAAAGAGGGCAAAAUGGCUAUUUAUACUAUACCUGGAUUACCAGGUAUUUUGUGCAUAAAUCGCACUCCCUGAGCCCGAUUUACCUCAUGAUAUAUUUUGCACAACCAAUCACAAUGAUACAUUUCCAUAACCACAUGAGCCAAUGUCCAUUUAUUAUUUUCAUUCAUCCAUGAAUUUCCACAUGUUUUCAUAUUCCAAAAGUAGAAAUAUAUAUUGAAAUACACCAAAGAUGACAUAAAAAAGCAUUGGCAAGCACAAAAUACAAUUAUUCACGUGUAUUCAAAGCUAUGAAAAUCAUAUAGGAUCCCACACAGUUAUACAUAUCAUGUAAUAUUCUCAAUUUCAGCAAUUACAUCACAUAUAGGUCCCACACGGGCACAACACAUAGAUAGCUAUUUUUAUAAUUAGUUCCUACCCUUAACAUGCAUUUAGUACAAACCUUUACUACCCAACUAUGUUUGAAAGAGUUAAGGCAUAACCUACCUCGAAUGCCGGAAUCGGUCUGCAAUAGUUCAACCACAAAGCCCUACUUCUCACGAAUGAUAUCGAAAUCAACUAAAAUCAAGAAUAUAUAAUCUAUUCAUCAAAACAAGGCUAAUGAUAUAUAUGUUGACUACUUUGGUUCAGGGUUAAAAUAGACUCCCGAAAUGGGUUUUUGAAAAAGAAGUGCAAAAUCAUAACUUUGCUUCAAAAAAAACUGUUUCCCAUAUUUUUAAGAAUCUAUAGUUGAAAACCCAAAAUAAAUUUCAUAAAAAAUGAGGUUCACAUCAAUGAAAAACUAUUUUAAUAUUUUAUCGGGUAAAACCUUUGAAAUUCGUGUUAAAAUAAAGAAUCAAAGUAGUUUUGAUGAUUAAUAAAGCAAAACUAGUAAUUAUAGGAUUAAAAUAUUAUUCAAGUGAAAAGGAGUGAAAUUAAGGUUUAAAAUCAAGCCCUAAGAUUUUUGGAGUUUUGAUAAAUUAAUCAAUAAUUAGAGUAAGAAAGGAUGAAAUCUCACCAUAAAUCCACAAUAAAAUCAAGAAAUAGAUGUUAAUCUAGUUUUCCAAGCUCCCACAAGCUUCACUUUUACAUUCUUAUACUAUUUUAGGGUUUAACUCUCAAGUACAAAGGUGAAAGAAUGAGCAAAAAGGGGGGCUAAAAGGGCUAUUUAUACUAUACCGGAUUUACCAGAUAUUUUGUACAUAAAUUGCACUCCCUAAGCCUAAUUUACCUUAUGUGCAUCAGGUUGCACCAGCAACCUAGUGCAUUAGAUUUUAUUAAGUCCCAACGGACUUAGAUGGGGUAUCCAAAAUUUGUUUAGAGUCUGAUAUACGCAAAUAAACUAUGCAACAAUACUAAAUUCGACACUUCGGACUUAGUGGCAAUAUCAAAAUUUUGAAAAACUAUUGUUUUCAUAGAAUUGACCACCAAAACUUGAAAUCAUAAUUUUUUAGAUGAGAGUCCAAAUGAAAUUUAAAAGCCAUAAACCAACCCAAAUAUGUUACCAUCCUAAAAUCGACAUUUUGAAUGUGUUGGCAAAGUCGGAUUUUCCAUCCUAGGUCGUUUCGACCAAAUAUAGGCACCACACUCAUAUUUUUAAUUUUUCAACUUUCCAACCAACAGUUCAAAAUGAGCUUGGGUGUAUCAGGACAUGAAACAAAGGUCUGCCUAGCCUAAAAUCGGUAUUUUAAAACUGUUGGCACACUCCAUUCAGCCAUCAAUUGCACGAAUCAAAAGAUAACCACACGGGUUCAUAAUAAGGUUUUUAAAGCCACCAAAAAUAAUAAUAUCAUAUCCAAGGUACCAAAAUACAUCGGGAAUCAUGUCAAUUACUCUCACACCCCAGAAGUACCACAGUGCAACUAUAGGAAGGGAAUAAAACAAUCAAAUCAUAAAAAAUCACAAAUUUCACAUAUUUUAUCAAAUUUUAGGUCGUUAUAUGUGGGUUUAUAAUUAUUGUGCAUGUUGUACACCUUAUAUUUUUGACAGCUAUUGUCUUGGGGUAUUUAGCCAUUCCUCGAUACAUGCAGCUAACAUAGAUUGGGAUCUUUUAGUAAGGAAAACUAGACCCAUAUUACCUAUGGGUGCUUGGAACGUCGGUAUAAGCUACAUAGUUCAGGCUUAUGUUUUUGAACGAUUAUGUUUCAUGUUUUUUGCACUUAUCCCAGCAACUUAUAUACAUGUGUAAUAGUUUUAUAUGUUGAUUAUGAUUGGAUUUUUGGUAAAUUCAUAAAUUUUAUCCCUUUUCUUUGGUUGCAUUCCAGUGCUCUCCGUACUAACCAUCUCCAAAUGCUAUAUCAUUUCAUGAUGUAGGUUAUGAAGGCUUUUCUUGUAACCCUAUAUAGCAUUUGGUAGUUUGAUACUCUUAUUGGGAAGUUGUUGAAGUGAUGAGCCCUUCCUCAUUAAAAAGACCUAGUCUUUUUCAAUUAUUUAUGGUUUUAGUACUUUCUUUUGGUUUUCUUCUAGGAUAGUCGGGGUCAUGUCUUGAAUUGGCUAGUGCUUCUUGGUUUAGAGUCUUUAUGGAUAGUAAUAGGGUAUUUCCUUAUGGAUUUGAUGUUGACUUACAAAAUUUCUCUUUUAAUUAUUAAAUAUCUCUUAUUUUUCUGAUUAGCUUCCACAUUUUAUUUUAUUGUUACUCUCUUGAGAUAAGGUUAAGGGGAUCAUCUCCAGCCUUAUUAGCUUGGGAUACCUGUCAUGGUUAAGCCUUGGUUAGAGUUGUGAUAAGCUUGGUAUCAUAGCACGGUUCAGGAUCGUUGGGUGUCCAUAAAGCUUUGUCGAGUAAAGUCCCUUUUAUGGGUAUGUAAUACACCAUACUUAUAGGGGGGAGGACAUGAGGCAUUUAGGAAAUAUUUAUCAUUCUUUCAUACUCUAUAUUGUGCAAUUGUGUUGUCCAUAUGAAAGUUAUCCAAUUUCUUUCCUUUUUUUAAUUUUGUUUGAUAUGUCUCAUCAUGUGAUCCUUUUAGAAUGAGUCGUCAAAAGUUAUGAAAUGACACAAGGAUUUGAAAGGAUUCCAUUAGUGUGUCGAAGUGUUUUGAUUUAAGUGUAUACCUCUAUCUUCAUGAAUCGUGCUUUUCAGCCCAAGGUAAGAUGUGUAAUUUUCCCUUUCAAAAACUUUAUUGAAGAAGUCUCAUUUAAGAGGAAGGAUACAUAUCCGAAUAUUGGGUUAUUAUUUCUAUCCUAGAGGUAGUAUAAAUUGGGAUGUUAUGACCUAUGAGUAGUUAGAUGAUCUUGAGGUUAGUGUAUAAAUUUUUUUGCAAAAUCGGAGAGAGGGUAGCUUUUCAGUGAAAAAGGGUAAUUGUAUUUGUAUGACCUUUAAGUGAGUGUUGGGGAUUGUAUGCCUUUAUUGUGUUGGUUAAGUUUUACCAAAAAUUAGAGAACUUAAUGAUAGUCAAUAGAAAAAGAGUGGUUAGUUAAAAUAUUUAUGUAUUUAGUUGAAAUAGGAAAGGUGCUUAUGAUUACUAGUUAUUGCAGUAGUCAAAUUAAUCAUAGAUUGCAAAUAGAAGGGUAAAUUGUCUAAUAAUUUAUAAAUUUGUCAUUUAUUUGGGGAGAUCUUAAAUAAAAAAAGGGGAACUCAGUGAUUUUUAUAGAAUCUUAAAGAUAGUUGGGAUGUAUGCAUGGGUAAGCAGAUGUGAUGUAAGGGAGGCGAAUGUCCUAUAGACCAUAAUGGGUUAGGUUAUAAGAUUAAGAUCAACUAUACUUAUUAUGUGGCUAUACCAAUUGAUAUUUUUUAUAGUAUUUAUAAACUAGCAUAGUAUUUGAGAAAAUGUAUAACGAAUAUUAAGGUGUGAUUGUAAUGUUGUGGAGAAAAAUACACUUGUGGGACAUAGGUAAGUUAAAUAUGAAAUUUAGGUUGAUUUCUAUAUUUUAUGGACUAGUAUAUUAGGCGAGAUAUUUCAUUGGUGGUACAUGAUAAUUUCUACACACUAAGUUUGAACUUUAGAUGUUGAUUAUGGUGAUAGAAUGUUAGCUCAGGAGUUGUGAUGCAAUACUUGUGGGAGUGAAUUAAUAGGCUUGAUAUAAUGUGUGAAAGAUCUUAGUUUGAUGACUUAUGAAAUAUUGGAGUAGGUAAUUGUGAUAUACGCAUGAGGUUAAGUGUUGAAGUAGAAAUGAUGGCGAAAUCAUUAGAUGGAUAAGAGCCUUAAGUUGUAAGGAUAAAGUGUACUCAGUUUUGAGUUAUAAGUGCUAUGUAUACCUAGUUUAUGUUCAUGUAUACUAUGUCAUUAGGCCCAUGAAUCCAAAGAACACCUUUUUGUGAAAUUUCACUUUACAACUCAUGUACGGACCAAGAUUCUAACUUGGUUGCACAGACAAUCUGUAUAGUGAAUUUUGUGCGAUAAUUAUUAGAAUUGGGCCAUUGACAGUACAAAUAGAAGAUCACAAGAAGCACUAAUAUUUAGAUUGGUGAUUCCUAAAGUUGUGUACGCAGUGUGUAUGGAAAGAAAUAUGAGGAUUUUUGAGUAGAUAUUUCGAGAAAGAGUUAGUUCUACAAGGGAGAUAGCCUAUAGUUCAAAUGUUAAAGCUCCAAUUGGAGAACAACCACUACUUUCUAGUUUUUUCUUUUGAUUCAGCGUAGAGUUGUAUAGGUGUUUCCUGUUAGAUCUAUUUAGGAUAGUAAUCUAAGAAUAAAUUGUUAUGGUUUUGUAACGAUUGCUAUUGGUGAUAAUAAAUAACAUUAGUUGGCAAAAAAUAAAGCUUGGUCAAAUAGUAAUUGCUGCUCAAAAGUGUUUUUAAAAUUUAUUGGUCAAAAACAAACUCAUUCUUACCCAAAGUACUUUUUUGAAAAAUAAUUAUGAAGAAUUAAUUUUUUGAAAAGCUAAAUUUAGAAGCUUGAUUAAAUAGUCUAGAAGUCUUAGUAAAUGAUUUGGAGAACAAGUAAUUAAACCUAAUAAUCACACAUGAAAAAAAUAAUUAUCUUUUAGUUAUGAAAUAUUAAGCAAGUACAAGAAUAAAUAGAGAGAGAAGAGACUUCUUUAUUUCUCUUUAGAAACCAGGGAUGAUUUACAAUGAAGAGAACUCCUAUAUUUAUAGGAGAAAUUUCUCCUAAUUUCUCUCCAAAAGAUGGACUUUCCAUUUAUUGAUAGAUACUCAAUAUAUCUUGAUAGAUAUUCACUAUAUCUUUAUUAACAUUCACCAUUUAUAACUCUCUUCUUGAAUAUUUAAUUGAUAGAUAAUGUGUCUCAUUAAAACCUUAAUUAAAAA
rnacentral:lncRNA from 1 species